GACGUAGGGCGCAAGCGUUGUCCGGAUUUAUUGGGCGUAAAGAGCUCGUAGGCGGCUUGCCACGUCUGCCGUGAAAACCAGCAGCUUAACUGUUGGCUUGCGGUUGAUACGGGUUGGCUGGAGUUCGGUAGGGGAGACUGGAAUUCCUGGUGUAGCGGUGAAAUGCGUAGAUAUCACUUGGAACGCCAAUGGUGAAGACAGCUCGCUGGGGGUGUCCUGACGCUGAGGCGCGAAAGCCAGGGGAGCGAACGGG
rnacentral:rRNA from 1 species